rnacentral:ncRNA from 1 species
GAUAAAUUUUUUAUGUUUUAUAUAAUUUAUUAUAAAUUUAUUUUACAUGUAAAUUUUAGUAUUAAAUUUUAAUUAUUUUAAUAAUAAUUAAUUAAAAAUGUACAGUAAUUAAAAUUAUAAAUUUAAGAAAUUAAGAUUUAGUAAUAUUUAAAUUAAUAACUAAUUUUGUGCCAGCAGUUGCGGUUAAACAAAAGUUAAAUUAAAUUAUUUCAGUAUAUAAUAAAUAAUUAAAAAAUUAAAUUAAAUAUUAAAUUAUUAAGUGAAAUUUUAAUUUAAUUAAAAAUUAUAAAAAAUUAUGAUUUAAUAAAUUUUAUUUUAAACUAGGAUUAGAUACCCUAUUAUUAAAAAUUUAAUUAAAAAUACUAAAAUAGUAAAUAAUAUAUUAUUGAAACUUAAAUAAUAUGGCGGUAUUUUAGUUCAUUUAGAGGAAUCUGUCUAGUAAUUGAUAAUCCACGAAUAAAUUUACUUGAUUUAUAAUUUUGUAUAUCAUUGUUAAAAAAAUAUUUUUAAAUAAAAAUAAUAUUUUAAAAUUUAAAAUAUAAUUUAAUUCAGAUCAAGAUGCAGAUUAUAAUUAAGUUUAAGAUGGAUUACAAUAAAUUUAUUUAAACGGAAAGAAUUUUGUAAAAUUUGAUUGAAGGUGGAUUUAAAUGUAAUUUUAAUUAGUUUAUUAAAAUGAUUAAAAAUUGAAAUAUGUACAUAUUGCCCGUCACUUUCAUUUAAAAAUUGAAAUAAGUCGUAACAAAGUAGAGGUACUGGAAAGUGUUUCUAGAAUGAA